rfam:Branchiostoma floridae genomic scaffold BRAFLscaffold_195, whole genome shotgun sequence.
GUCUUUGGUUAUCUAGCUGUAUGAGAGUCUUUUGUCACCAUAAAGCUAGGUAACCAAAACA